AACAGAAACAAAAUAUUUCACAACUUAAGGAACAGGCGAGCAGUCUGCAGACCCAAGUCAAGGACGAUUUUUCUAAAAUACACCAGAUCCUGACUGACAGAGAGCAGCGGGUGAUGAGAGAUCUCAGGCAGCGAGAGGAGGAGAUUUUACAACGGAUGGAGACAAACCUGCGAGAGACUCAAAGCAAUUUAGAUUCAGUUCAAGAAGAAAUCUCAGAGUUACAGACACAGAUGGAAAAAGACGGGCCGAUGUUUUUGCAGGAGGAAGCUGCUCGGAAGAAAAGGUAUCA